UACGAAGGGGGCUAGCGUUGUUCGGAAUCACUGGGCGUAAAGGGCGCGUAGGCGGCCAUUCAAGUCGGAGGUGAAAGCCCAGGGCUCAACCCUGGAAUUGCCUUCGAUACUGUUUGGCUAGAGUCCGGAAGAGGUAAGUGGAACUGCGAGUGUAGAGGUGAAAUUCGUAGAUAUUCGCAAGAACACCAGUGGCGAAGGCGGCUUACUGGGCCGGUUCUGACGCUGAGGCGCGAAAGCGUGGGGAGCAAACAGG
rnacentral:rRNA from 1 species